AGUGAACGCUGGCGGUAUGCCUAACACAUGCAAGUCGAACGGCAGCACAGUAAGAGCUUGCUCUUACGGGUGGCGAGUGGCGGACGGGUGAGGAAUACAUCGGAAUCUACUUUUUCGUGGGGGAUAACGUAGGGAAACUUACGCUAAUACCGCAUACGACCUACGGGUGAAAGCAGGGGAUCUUCGGACCUUGCGCGAUUGAAUGAGCCGAUUUCGGAUUAGCUAGUUGGCGGGGUAAAGGCCCACCAAGGCGACGAUCCGUAGCUGGUCUGAGAGGAUGAUCAGCCACAUUGGAACUGAGACACGGUCCAGACUCCUACGGGAGGCAGCAGUGGGGAAUAUUGGACAAUGGGCGCAAGCCUGACCCAGCCAUACCGCGUGGGUGAAGAAGGCCUUCGGGUUGUAAAGCCCUUUUGUUGGGAAAGAAAAGCAGCAGGUUAAUACCCCGCUGUUCUGACGGUACCCAAAGAAUAAGCACCGGCUAACUUCGUG
rnacentral:rRNA from 1 species